UAGUGGGCACGGACAACGCCGUAAGAUAAAAUGCUUGCGUUACUAAAUGGUCCUUAGUGUAGGAUGGAUUUAUUGUCCCUAGUUUUUAAGUUGCCAUUUAGAUAAAUAGGUGGCAUGUGAUCAACUUCACAUUCAUAGCUAGCUUUAUUAGCAUCUUUUUACCCCUUCUUUCUACCGCUCCAAAGGGUGUAUCAAGGACAGUUCCUCCCGCUGCAGAAAAAGAAAUGAACCUUCCCGUUGCCCCUGCGGGUUCUUCUUGUCCAGUGCCUGGGCCCUGACUGCUCCUCUACCUCCACACCCUUAUCUCCACAUCUCACCACUGACUCGUUGAUUUGUGAGGGCAUGUGAGCUUCUGGAAAGAGUAACACAGAGGAAGAGCAGUUCUGAGAACUAAGAAGAUCCCAUUUGGCUCUCCCUGUGGCCCCAGUAAGGAAGAUGUUACCAGCUCCAUUCUGCAGGCG